rnacentral:rRNA from 1 species
GACGUAGGGCGCGAGCGUUGUCCGGAAUUAUUGGGCGUAAAGGGCGCGUAGGCGGCUUGGCAAGUGGAAGGUGAAAUCCCUCGGCUUAACCGAGGAACUGCCCUCCAAACUGCUUUGCUUGAGGCCGGGAGAGGCGAGUGGAAUUCCCAGUGUAGCGGUGAAAUGCGUAGAUAUUGGGAGGAACACCAGUGGCGAAGGCGGCUCGCUGGACCGGUUCUGACGCUGAUGCGCGAAAGCGUGGGGAGCAAACGGG